GACGAACGCUGGCGGCGUGCCUAAUACAUGCAAGUUGAGCGCUGAAGGUUGGUACUUGUACCGACUGGAUGAGCAGCGAACGGGUGAGUAACGCGUGGGGAAUCUGCCUUUGAGCGGGGGACAACAUUUGGAAACGAAUGCUAAUACCGCAUAAAAACUUUAAACACAAGUUUUAAGUUUGAAAGAUGCAAUUGCAUCACUCAAAGAUGAUCCUGCGUUGUAUUAGCUAGUUGGUGAGGUAAAGGCUCACCAAGGCGAUGAUACAUAGCCGACCUGAGAGGGUGAUGGGCCACAUUGGGACUGAGACACGACCCAAACUCCUACGGGAGGCAGCAGUAGGGAAUCUUCGGCAAUGGACGAAAGUCUGACCGAGCAACGCCGCGUGAGUGAAGAAGGUUUUCGGAUCGUAAAACUCUGUUGGUAGAGAAGAACGUUGGUGAGAGUGGAAAGCUCAUCAAGUGACGGUAACUACCCAGAAAGGGACGGCUAACUACGUG
rnacentral:rRNA from 1 species